CAGAGUUACCUAACUCCAAACCCAUGUGAACUUACCUAUGUUGCCUCGGCGGGGAAGCCUACCCGGUACCUACCCUGUAGCUACCCGGGAGCGAGCUACCCUGUAGCCCGCUGCAGGCCUACCCGCCGGUGGACACUUAAACUCUUGUUUUUUAGUGAUUAUCUGAGUGUUUAUACUUAAUAAGUUAA
rnacentral:rRNA from 1 species